AUGCUUUUGUGCUUCCUAAGUGUGGCACUUGGGUUUGCAUGCUAGUGUGUGUGAGAUGUUCCUCUCUCAAAACUUGUUACAAAACUGACACAUUUACCCCUCUGACA
ensembl:snoRNA